GGAUUGGUUGUAUGUGCAAACUUUGCAAUCCUGGAGGAUCUGACUUCCGAGAUUGACAAAUUGGAUAUCCCAGCAAUUUCUCACAACCUUAGUUGUCAUUUUGAAUCGGACAAAGGGAAUUCUCUGCAUCACUACUACACAAGCAAAGAAGAAUUCCUGUGGUUGCAUCUAGGAGGAUUCGUUUGGGUAUCCUACAUACCACGAGUGUGGUUUUCAAAUCAGUUGAAUGAAUGCAGUUCCCUAGAAGCUUCAGUCGUAAGCGAUCACGAGGCCUUCAGUGUCCAUAAGUGUGGUCUCCGCCUACUAUACCAGCAUGAUGAAGAAGAGUUUACUCAGGCCAUAUUGCAGUAUAUGACGUCAUUGUACGAUAAGAAAGGGAAAAAUAAGCAAACACCCUCAUAAGGGUGAGACAGGAAUGAUCAUGUAGUAGAACUCACAAAGCAGCAUUGAGGAACAUCACCAAUAAAGAAAGGCUUGUCAAUGUCACUAAUAAUUUCUCCCCUUCCGCAGACGUGGGUGUAGCUACAUUCGCUAGAGCAGAUAUGCUCCCUCUAUGAUGCAGUGCAUUAAGGAGAUUGAUUUAUUACCGAUCUUGAUAUUCAGGAUGGUCCAUUGAGUUUUCAAAUCUAGUUAAUAUCUCAAGUAAUCAAGUAUUUGGAAUAUUGUGUUUUUAAUUAUAUGGUUGGAUUAAGACUUGGUGAUUAUUAUUUCUUAUGUUCUAGUGGACUAGGAAGUUGUGUUAGUGUUUAACUAUCUUGUUGCUAGGCCUAUUGAAAGGCUAGAAUUGUUAAGGAAGAAACAAAUUAUGCAUUUUGAAUGAGUUUAUGUAAACAAGGACUAGUUCUCUAUAUGUUCAUUGGGUCAUAGUUGUGCUUGAUAUUUCAAUAAACAUCUCUUUGUUUUCCUCCCUGCAUCACCUAAGCACCCGAAUUCGAAUGCGCUAACUCCACCCCAUCAAUUUAUUUGUUACUUAGCAAAUUUUUCUACCUUGGCAAUGCCUUCCCUUUUUAUUUAUCUGGUCUCAGCUAAUUAAUUGUCUACUUCAUGUUAAAAUGCAACAAUGCAGCCUCUUAUGUUUAAUCCAUCAUUAGGGCUUGACAAAACUCAAUACGGAAUCGUAGAGAUUAGACGUGAAAAAUAAAGAGCCAACUAUUGACUAUCUGACCCCUCCUCCCUCCUACAUUAUCCGGACUUGGGACCGGCAUCGUAAAAUAAACUCAAUACAAAAGCCUUGAAUAUUUUUCUUCUUCUGAAUCAAAAUUCCGGAAAAAUCAACACGAAUUAAUUAUGCAAAUAAUUAAAUAAGGGGAUGUUUUGAUAUAGCCCCCUCGUUUUUAGGCUUCUUAGACUAAACGUAUGUUUUUUUUAACAAUUUUAUUAACCAUUCUUUUACAAUUUUGGUGUCAUGUGUAUCUUAAUUUACCCAUUUUUAUGUACCUAAAUUACAUGACCUACCAUAGCUUUUAACAAAUCAAAUUUCGAUGACUACUACAAAAGCGGAUAUCACUAGCGAUGUAAAAACCGAUAAGAAACCCCAAUUAUUGUCGGAUUUUUGGUAAAAAUCCAACAUUAAAUCGUGCAAUGUCGGAUAGGGGAACUGCCACCAAUGCUACCAUCACGAAAAGGGUAUUGACGUUGCUUAUCAAAAUUAUGCUCAUCUAAUCUUGAUUGUUUGUUCAAUUCAAGUUUUGAAUAUCCUCGUAACAAUUAGAGUGCAAAACAAAAUUAAUUUAACAUAAUAUAUUCUUAUAUUACUAAAUAUUAUCAGUUUAAGUUAUAUUUAAUAUUGUUAAUUUAACAGAAAUGCUUAUAAAUAUUAUUUAUUUCCAUUUUCUCUUAACAAUUCAAGUGACAAAAUUAAUUAAUUUGACUAAAUAUUUAUUAAUUUAACAUAAACCGUAAAAAUUUAUCUAAAUACUUAAAUUAGAAUUUUUAAAUAAAUAAACUUGUGCAUUAUACAAUUUAAAAAUUAAGGAAUUUAGUGAUACAAACCUGAAUUAUGGAAGAAUUCCGUCGUCGAUCAAUUCUUUAUGUACUCAAUCAACUCAAAUAAAAUCCCUACAAAAUUAAAGACUUUUUAUAUUAGCACCCCACAAAAUGUUGAAUGCACCCCACAUUAAAAUUUAAUAUUAAUGACUAAUUUACUCUACUAUGUAAUGACAAUUUUGACCUUAAUUAGGUUUAAAAAAUAAUAAAAAAUUUAUAAAUACAUUCCAAAUCAUUUUUAACGUAUUAUUUAUCUAUUUCAACUAUCAAAACCCCUCCCAUUCUCCAUUGUUGAAUAAAACCCUAAGCAAUGAAACUACAAACAUGUUGAUUGAGAAAAAUAAUUUUUGAUGAAUGGAAUACGAAAUCGAUGUUUCGAAAGCUUUAAAAUCAUUAUUACUGUUAUUGAAAAACGUUCAAAUGAACCUAAACAUUUUUUAAAAUCAUUCAAUUUGAAAUCAUUCAGAAAACUAACAUUCAGAUAGUUUGAAAUCAUUCGGCAAAAUAAAAAAUGAGUGCUAUAAGAUUUGAGAAAUGUGGGGUGUGUGUAGAAAAUAUAAGGUGUAUAUUAAGAAUGUGGGGUGUGAGGGUAUUAGAAGUGGGGUGUAUUAAGAUAAUUUUUAAUUGAAAAAGUAAAUGUGGGGUAUAUUAAGUAUGUGGGGUUUAUUCAACAAUUUGUGGGGUGCUAAUAUAAUAAGCCAUAUUAAACAUAAGAGGAAAAAAUAAAAAUACUAGAAGCAAGAAAAACUUACUAUGGAGAAGAAGGAAUUAAUGAAGUUGGAAGAACAAACAAGAAAUAUGCGAGAGAUCAAGAAGAAAACAUGGGGGAGGGUUUAUAAAUUGGAAGAAGAAAUAAGAAAGAUGCGAGAGAGGAAGAAGAAAACACGGGGAUGGUAUAUAAAGGCCACCAAUCUGUCGCCUAAAACCGACACCGGGUUUCAAAAUAUUUUUAAAAAAUUUAUACCUAUGUCGGAUACAACCAACAUCGGCUUUGAAAAUAUUUAAAAACUAUCGUUAGUGUCGGGCAGAAGCGACACAAGUCUUCCUUUAACCGACGCUAAUGUUUUGUUGGUUACAAUCGACCCCAGGUUUCAAAAUAUUUAAUAAAAAUUAAAACCGAUGUCGGCUACAACCGACACCGACUUUGAAAAUAAAUUAAAAACAAUCAUUAGUGUCGGCCAAAAGCGACACCAAUCUUCUUUUAACCGACGCUAACGUUAUGUCGGCUAAAAGCGACACGGUUUUUUUUUAUGCAACACCACUAUUAAAAAAUAUUAAAAUAUAUGUCGGUUAUAAUCAACAUUAACAGUUUAUGUCGGUUACUACCGACAGUAAUUCCGACACCAUGUUAAGUAGGUGUCGGAAUGUCUUAUUUGCCACUAUAUUAUAUAAAACCGACAACAACCACUGAUACAAUAAGGCCCUUUUGUAGUAGUGGGUAUCCAGUUUCUUCACGCCAAAAGAGAGGUUCCUAAAUUCUUGCUAAAUGAUGUCUCAGAUUUUUAAUUUAAGAACAAUACUGAUUGUUCAAGAUAAUAAGAAUUUGAAUUUAAAGAUAUUAAUCUUGUAAAUUUAAAGAUUUGAAUUACAUUAGUACACUAGUUCCUCAUUUAAUUUGUCGAUUUGGAAAACUAAAAUUAGAAUUCACUAUUGUUCACCUAGGCUAUUAAGAUGGUCGACAACGAUAAACUUCUGAACUCAACACCCCUACGAUCAACUAUAAAUCAUGAAUGAAUUGUUUUUCUGAACUCAACGUACUGUAAGUUUUAAACGCCCUUUUUUCAUAACAAAUUUGUAACAUACCAGGAGUUUAUUACAUUAGUGAACCUUAUGUUGACACAUAUUGAUCAUUGAGUUCAUGAAAUAAUAUGAAUUUAGAACGUACCAAAUAUUUGGUACGUAAAGUUUUUAUUUUUGAAAUGUAUCCUUCCAAUGAAACGUUAUACAUUGUGCCUUUGAGACGUACCUAUUGUUUGGCAUGUCUUUAUGUUAUUUCGACAAGUAAUGAUUUUUUGGUAUUAAACUCCCAACUAAUUGGUACGUUAAUUAAUGUUAUGUUGAUACAUAUUGAUCAUUUGCUUCAUGAAAUAAUAUUGAUUUAGAAGGUACCAGACGUUUGGUAUUUAAAAUUUUUAUUUUUGAAACGUACCCGUCUGAUGAAACGUGUGUGUUUGAAAAGUACCAAUUAUUUGGUAUGUCUUUUUACGUUAUUUUGACGAGUAAUGAUCAUUUGGUAUUAAACUACCAACUAACUGGUACAAUAAUUCAUGUUAAUUUGGUACAUAACCGUGCCUUAUUUGGUAGGUCUUUUAGCGUUAUGUUAAUUUAAAAGAUACAAAUCAUUUGGUAUAUAAAGUGCACAUCGCGCCAAGUAAAAACAUGGUGCACUUUCGACAACAACUAGUACAUAAGGUGCACUUUCGACGACAAUUGGUACGCAAGGUGCACAUCUUUCGUAAAAACGUAAUGAUUUAUUACCAAAAAUUGCUUUAAUCUACAACUGCAUGUGAGAAAUCUUUAAUCUACCAGUGAUGACAUGAACAAUACCAAUUUUUCAAGUCCACCAUCACCAAAUCAUCACUAUGUACUUCAAAUAUAAACUCGCUUGACCGGCUAAUAUAUGUGUCAAUGUCUUCCCAUCUCCAAUAACUUAUUAAAUUGGUUUUCCAUUUCAGGACAUAAUUUAGAGUUCCAUUUCUCUGCAGCAAUACGUUUAUCCUUAUUCACCACUAGGGAUAGGCAAAAUAUCCAUGGGUAUGGGUAACCGUGGUUACCCGCCCAUUUAAAGUUGACGGUUAUGGUUAUGGGUAACCGUUUAGACAAAUAAACGAUUAUGGGUAUAACCGUUUAUCCAUGAAAUUUAAAUGGGCGGUUAUGGGUAUUAUCCAUUUACCCAUUUAAUUUAAUAUAUGUAAAAUUAAAAAAAAAAUUAAAAACCCUUAGAGAAUAAGUUACAACUCCGUCACUCUCUCUCUCCGCCUCUCGACUUCGUCACUCUCUCUCUCCGCACUCUCUCUCUCCGUCGCUCUCUCUCUGCGCCUCUCUCCAAUACCGGCCAGCCGUCCAGCCAGCGGAAACGUAUAGCCGUAUCAAUUGUCCGGCAGCUGAAAGUCCUGCAAACCAAAAAUUUGAUGGGAAAGGUUCUGAACAAAGAGGGCCAUGCCACAUUUGGCUGGAUUGUAACCGUCCCACAAGGAGAAGUUUAUGGUUCCAGAAAUGGUCUUCUUUGCAGCAAUGUCUUUGACAGUGCAGAGCUUUUCAAGUUGUCGGACGACGAAGUCAUUGGACAGGACACGUCCUUGGUUCUCUCCCUUGGGGCAGUCGGUAAUCAGCCCGUUCUCGUACAGUGCCACCAUCACAUUGGCACCGUAGUUGUCCACCUUCGACCUCAAUGAUCCUGUUAGGGAUACUUGCAAGGAGGCCGGUGAUGGCCUUUGGAAUGUUGCCUAUUCAUCCACAACAAAACCAAGUUGCUAGUAUUUAUCCUUCACAACAAAACCAAAUUGUUAAAAAAAAUAAUGUAAACAGGCGAAAAAAGGGUAAAAGGGUAAAAAAGGAUAAACGGGUGAAAAAAUGGGUAAACGGGUAAAUGGUUAUGGUUAUGGUUAAAUGGGUAAAUGAUUAUGGGUAAAUGGGUAUACGGUUAUGGGUAUGGAUAACCGUUUAUAAACGGUUAUGGUUAUGGGUAUAACCAUUUAUGUAAUUACCCAACGGGUAAACGGUUAUUCGGGUAUGAACAUAAACGGUUAUGGGUAAAUAAUCGCAGUUACCCGCCCGCCAUAACCGUUGCCCAUCCCUAGUCCCACGCACCGCCACACAUGGUGGUAGCCAAGGUGGAGGGUUUAGAAACCCCAAAAUUUCAACAUUAACUAAAUGAGCUCAAAUUUAUAUGGUAGCUAGAGCUCAACGAGGGAAACACUUUUCACAACUAGGCCGACGAUAAAUUCUAAUCGGAAACCGUCCAAAUUCACCGGAGAAAACCGGAAUUCUAGGGUUCUAAACACCCAACUCUAAAAUGAAUAUGAAAGCACGAACCAAGCAUAUCAACUUGAAGAUUAUGAAGAGUAUAUGAAGUUUCAUACCUCACUCGAACGAAAUGAUUGUCGGAAUCACUGGAAAAUGACAAAAUCGCCGGAAACCCACGGAACUUUGCUGCCUCGAACUGGAAAAAUGGAUAAGAAACUGGAAAAUCUAAGACUACAAAGAUGUGGGGCUCGUCAAGAGCUUUCCAUGGACACCAAGAUCACCCAAAACGGAGCUAGGAUGAAGGAGAUAUGAGUGGAUCAAGUUGGAGGGUUAAAGGGUUGAAAUCACCCAAAAAUGGGUCAAAAUCAGACCUCUCCUUCUUCCUUUUUUUUUUCCAGAAACUUUCCCCUUUUUAAACUAACUUAACCUUUCACCCACAUGUGGGAAUUAAAUAAUUCCCACAAUAUAGUUCACACCUUCAAACGACUGUAACUAUACCGUUAUAACUUGGACUCGCAAACGGGUUUCGCCUAUGCGUUCCUGGGUUCGAGAUCUAUUUAAAAACACUAGUUAAAACUUCAAAAAGUCAACAAAAGAUAAAGAUUGAUUACGAAAAUUCAAACUCGAUAACUAUUCAAUUUAAUUCCCAAAAUUUACGGAAUUAAAAUUAAGUAAUAAAAAUGACGUAAACGUGAAAUACGAACUUAAAUUACAAGAUACAUACUGAAUAGUGAAAUUCCAGGGACGGGAUUUCACAUGCACGUCAUUUAUUACCGAGUCUCGUGCUUAGGAGAUGAAAGAAAGGAAUGAGAAAGAAUAUUAAUUCUAUUUUUUUGAGUUUCGAGGGAUUGUCUUGAUUAAUUUUCCUCGGGAGAUGAAAGAAAUGGAUGAGAAAGACUAUUAAUUAUAUUUUUUAAAUUUCGAGGGAUCGUCUUGAUUAAUAUUUUCGAAUUUCGUGCGAACGUUUAGAGCCGAUGUAAUUUGCACAUGCAUAGAGGUUAUGAGGUCAUUGCCAAAGAAAUGGUUAUAUACAAUUACAAGUCAUAGACCAACGGAUACGAUCAUACCAACUCACAUGCACCGGAUCCUAUCAAAACUCCAAAUUUAAGCGAUUUUGGGCAAGAGUAGUACUAGGAUGGGUGACUUCCUGAGAAGUUCUCGUGUUGCAUCCCCCCACCUCUUUUUUUUUUUUCAUAAUUCUUUUUUGCAUAUUUCUAGUGGCUUAUUAUUUUGUUAUAGUUCUUUUUUGCGUAUUUUUAGCGGCUUCUUUGUGGUGUGCGGUGUUUAUUACCGAGUCUCGUGCUUGAGAGAUGAAAAAAAGGAAUGAGAAAUACUAUUAAUUCUUUUUUUUUUUUUUUGAGUUUCGAGGGAUCAUCUUGAUUAAUAUUCCUCGGGAGAUGAAAGAAAUGGAUGAGAAAGACUAUUAAUUAUAUUUUUUAAAUUUCGAGAGAUCGUCUUGAUUAAUAUUUUUGAAUUUCGUGUGAACGUUUAGAGCCAAUGUGAUUUGCACAUGCAUAGAGGUUACGGGGUCGUGGGCAAAGAACUGGUUAUAUACAAUUACAAGUCAUAGACCAACGGAUGCGAUCAUACUAACUCACAUGCACUGAAUCCCAUCAAAACUCCAAAUUUAAGCGAGUUUGGGCGAGAGUAGUACCAGGAUGGGUGACCUCCUGGGAAGUUCUCGUGUUGCAUCCCCCCACCUCUUUUUUAUUUUUUUUAUCUUUUCAUAAUUAUUUUUUGCGUAUUUUUAGCUGCUUAUUAUUUUGUCAUAAUUCUUUUUUGAGUAUUUUUAGCGGCUUAUUUGUGGCACGUGUCAUUUAUUACCGAGUCUUGUGCUUGAGAGAUGAAAGAAAGGAAUGGGAAAGACUAUUAAUUCUAUUUUUUUUUAGUUUCGAGGGAUUGUCUUGAUUAAUAUUCCUCGGGAGACGAAAGAAAUGAAUGAGAAAGACGUUUAAUUAUAUUUUUUAAAUUUCAAGGGAUUGUCUUGAUUAAUAUUUUUGAAUUUCGUGUGAACGUUUAGAAGAAAGUGGGGCUACUCUGCUGAUUGGAAGAAAGUACUAGUCUUCUUUUGUCCAAAAUUUGUACACUGCAGUGUGUACUGGUAAUGAAUCUAUACUAGGAAUGAAUUUUUGAGAAUUUGAGUGAUUUUUUAGUAAACUAAAAAAAAAAAAAAGGACCUGUGGACUCGGCCCGAACUAGCCCAUUUCAAACGGGCCGGGUUAGGUCUGGUUCCUAUAUUAGAAAAUGUAAUCCUUGGCUUGGUCUGGCUCGUCUCUUCUAAGUCCAGGUCCGGUCUGGUCCCUUCAAAAUUCGGCUCGGCUCGGCCCGAUCCGGCCUGUGCCCACUCCUAUCUUAAUGUACUCUUUUCCCUACGAUUAGGAGCAUUUAUCCCACUGGGUUUUUGCUACCUAACUAGGUAUUAACGAGGCACCCACCUUGGGUUGAUCAUUUCCCUGAUGACGUCCCGUAGACGUUUCAUUUGACUUUGCAUUACUCAUGCAUUUUUCCUUAAACUAUGGAUUUUGUCCCUACUCGGGUUUUUGCCAUAACCUUAGGGUUUUUCAGUGAGACUUACUACUUUAUGCAAGGUCUUACCUUAUUGAGAAUAAGCGUUGUUCCCAUAAUUAGUGCCGACAAGUCGACUUCCUCAACUUCUGCAUGAUGCUGAAAUCUACCUUGAGUAUUUUACACACUCAAAGGGGAGUGUUGUGAACUUUUCUAGUUUAAGUGUGAUUGUGUAAAUCAUAUAUUAGAUUUGAUUCUAGUUAUUCUUUCCUAUAUGAACUUGUAUUCCUUGGGGAUGAAGGAGUUAUUCUCUCAUUUUACUACUAUAAAUAAAUGCACUACGUAGAGUGAAUAACAAAUCAUCAACAUAUAAUUCUUCUAUAAUUCUACAAACACAUCUCUCCUCUCUCUACCCUUGCCGCCGGCCUUCUCCUUCUUGUCAGAUAAAAUAGCCACAUUAAGACUAAGGAUUCAAACGCGUGGUUGUAUAUUUUCAAAUCUCUUUUAAUAAAUCAAUGGAAUUGGCAAUGCAAUGGCAUCCAUUGUGGACUUGCUUGAUUUAUUAAUUCUCGAACGUCGAGCCCCACAAAAAAAAAAAGGGCAAGCAGGUUCACGUUCACACUAUCAUUUUGUUUUUGUCUCCGUAUUUUUUAAGAUCUCAGACAAGAAAAUCAAACAACUUGCCAUAAAAUAAAACUAAAAUUCCUAUUUACACGAGAUAAUCAAACAAGUUAACAUUAAAAAAACUAGUCAUCGUGGAGGGACUUUGAAGCUUGUGCUCUUUUGGCUGUUUAAAUAUAAAAAUUCCCAGCUUUUGAUUAACAUAUAAUAUUAACAUAGUACUAGGUUGCCCUGCAUUCAGCUGCGGGGUAUGCACUCCACCAGUCCGAGAGUUAUUUUCGUAUUCUUGUCGUCGAAGUCUUAUAAUAUAUAUGGCUCUCCUACAUUACUAUCUUCAUGUUUUGUGUUAAUAAUAUGAUGUCAAGUACAAAUUUUUAUUCACAUAACAUUAUAUCAUUAAUUUAAGGUAUAUUUGUCGAUAUGAAAAAAAGGGAAGCAGGUUCACGUUCACACUAUCAUUUUGUUUUUGUCUCCGUAUUUUUUUUAAGAUCUCAGACAAGAAAAUCAAACAACUUGCCAUAAAAUAAAACUAAAAUUCCUAUUUACACGAGAAAAUCAAACAAGUUAACAUUAAAAAAAACCAGUCAUCGUGGAGGGACUUUGAAGCUUCUGCUCUUUUGGCUGUUUACCUAUAAAAAUUCCCAGCUUUUGCUAACAUAUAAUAUUAAUAUAGUACUAGGUUGCCCUUUAUUCAGCUGCGGGUACGCACUCCACCAGUCCGAGAGUUAUUUUUGUAUUCUUGUCGUCGAAGUCUUAUAAUAUAUGUGACUCUCGUACAUCAUGUUUUGUGUUAAUAAUAUAAUAUCAAAUACAAUUUUUUAUUCACAUAACAUUAUAUCAUUAAUUUAAGGUAUAUUUGUCGAUCUAUCAUCUGAAUUUGUAUAGAGCUGUUAAUUUUUCCCUGUGAACUUUAAUUUUAGUCAAUUACCUCCUUAAACCUUUAUAAUUAGCUAAUUUCCCCCAUGAACUUUAAUUUUAGUCUAUUACCCCCUGAACUUUUAUAAAUAGCCAAUUUCCCCUUGCUUUAGAUUUUAAAAGUUUUCAUCCAUCUUGAUCACGGAAACAACACAUGACAACUGUAUGAGGGCAAAAAGGAUGAAACAUUGGAUGGAUGAAAAAUUGAAUGAAAGUUUUUAAAAUCUAACGCCAAAGGAGGAAUUGGCUAUUUAUAACAGUUCAGGGGGUAAUCGUCUAAAAUUAAAGUUUAAGGAGGAAAUUGGCUAAUUUAAAAAGUUCAUAGGGGUAAUCGGCUAAAAUUAAAGUUCAGACGAAAAAUUGGCAGCUGCAUACAAGUUCAGAGAACAAAGCAACAAAUACCUCUUAAUUUAAUGAUGCAGAUGUACAAUGUACUCGUAACAAGUUCAGAGAACAAAGCAACAAAUAACUCUUAAUUUAAUGACUCUUAAUUUAAUGAUGCAGAUGUACAAUGUACUCGUAACUACUCGUGUCAUAAAAGUUGAUGUCCUUGUAUUGCGGUUCUGAGUCCGUUUACUUGUGAUUCUUCGCAGCUAUACCAAGCUAGCUAGUUCUGCAAACACUUCUAAGCAACAACUUGCCAAAGCUUCCAUUAAUUACCAGUUUGUUUGCUGGUGAUUAGUCUCCAAUGGCUGAUCCCAUGACCACCAAAACCUCGUCACCUUUGCCACCUUUUCCGACCCCUCCACUGAAAUACGAGGUUUUCGUGAGUUUUAGAGGUUUGGACACUCGGAAAGGUUUCACUGACCAUUUGUACAAUGCUCUAGUUCGAGACGGGAUCCACACUUUCAGGGAUGAAGAACAACUCGAGAGCGGAAAACCCAUCUCAAAGGAACUCGCCGAAGCAAUCGCAGAAUCGCAAAUUUUCGUCGUUGUUCUUUCGAGAAACUACGCAACCUCCACAUGGUGCCUGGAUGAACUUGCAAGUAUGGUUGAACUUGCGGCAAACGAUGAGUCUAGACUGAUUCUGCCGGUAUUCUAUGACGUGACACCGUCAGAAGUCCGAAAACAGACCGGAGUUUGUUUUGAAGAGGCGUUUGCUAAACAUGAAAAAGAUUUCGAAGGAGAAACAGAGAAGGUGACAAGGUGGAAGAGUUCACUGACUACAAUAGCCGACCUUUCAGGAUUUGAUCUAAGACAUUAUAGGUAUGUGGUGCUUCUGUUAUGUAUUUCAUUUGUUUAGGUUGAAAAUUUCUCAUUUCAAUAUAUGUUUUUCUUAAUGUUUGUUUGACAACUAUUUUAAUUUUCGGUUUUUAGUUUUUGGUAGCUAUUUUCGAUUAUCAAUUAGUUCAAUUUUGAAACUCGCAAAAAUAUAGCUCAUUCGGUAACUAUUUGGUUUGGUUUAAUUUUUUAUCUUUAAGAUAUAGGAAAAGUAUAUGAUGAAAAGGAGAAACGAACACUACAAGAAAAACACCCUCUUUCCAGAUGAAAGGAUUUCUGUGAGCCAAAUAAGGUUUCAUCGCCUAAUGUUCUGCCCUACACAAAUUCAUCUGAUAAAACUUGUCACACAAACGUUUGCUCGAUGAAUUUUAAAACUUUGUCAGGCAAACAUUAUUUGCCCGAUGAAAUUACCAACGACAAUUUUGUCGAGCCAAGUGAAUUGACCAAUUUGGGCUAACGAAUCUAAUUGUCCGACGACAAUAUUUGGUUGGUAAAACCUAUUGAUGAACUACAAUGGUAUCCUAAAUGACGAAAAUUUUACAAUUUUGCCUAACGAAUUUUCUACUAUUUCGUUGCCCAAAGUUCUAUUUUCUAGAAAUUUAUGUCCUGAUGGUCAUUCAUCCUAUAUUUUUCUCUCCGUUUGUGAGAGCCUCUCUCUCCGUAUGUGAGAGUUCUUCUCCCCUUUGUGUGAGUGCAUCCAAUCUUUGAAGCCAACUCUAGCUGUGGCUAGGGUUGGUGGCAGUCCCAUGGUUCUCCUCUGUUUUUUUCUUUUCCUUUUCUUCUUGUUGUUUGCUUGCUUAUCUUCCCUGUUUCUUUCCUCCUGCUAUCAUCACUAUGUUGCCCUAUUUUCCUUUUGAUCCUACCAUCUUAAUUCCACAUCACCCGUUUCCUCCAUAUCCAUCUCCAUCAUUUUCAUCAAUGGGUUCGAUCAUAUUUCCAAACAUCUACAAUUUCGAUCGAUUGCCAUCUAUUUUCUUUGUGAUUCAUCGCACAAUCUUUGGAGGGUGUGUAGAGCUUCGGCUCUAGUGUUUACACCACCACCUUUGUUGGCUUGUGUUGGUCUUUCCCCCUGUUCGCCUUUGUUGGCGAUGUUGGCCGUGAGAUUUGUCUUGCCGCAGUCUUCGUGUAGCUACAAAGUCUGUAGCUUCUUUAAUAUGCGGCGGCGAUCGUUGUUGUGGUGGUCUUGGAAGGAUGCUGCAACCUUUCUCUUAAUCAGAUUUGGGGUUUGUGUUGGUGUGGUUGCAAGACAUCGAAGGGGGCAACUAAUCGGGUUGCUCGUGGCGUGGAGCGAGAAGUAUGAUGCGGCGGUGAUGGCUACAAGGACUAUAGUUUUGUUAGGGUUUUUUUGUAUGCUGGGCUCCAAAACUGUCUUUGGGCCAUUUUGUAUUUUAUGGUUCAUCUUCUUUUUGGACUUCUCUUCUAUUUGGACCUUUUGUUUUGUAAUUAGUGGUGUUGGUAAUAAAUUUAUCCUUUGACGAAAAAAAAAAUCUAUUUUCUAGAAGAAAAAAAAUUCCUAAAGAAAUUGUCAUCGAGCAAGAAAUUUGAAAAAAAAAAAAGGAAAAAUGCAUGCUCGACGGAAGUAUUCGUUGGCCAAACUUUACAAUUUCUUUUUUAUUUAUUUUAUAAUUCAUAAUUAUAAAUUAUAUUUGAUUUAAAUAAAAGAGAAUUGUUAUUAGCACUCCAAAAAUCUCAUUGGCACUCCAAACUUUCUAUAAUUAGAAAGAAAAAUACAUUUGUGAGGAGUGUAGAAUGAGAUUUUUGGAGUGCUAAUAAUAGUUCCCAAAUAAAAUAAUUUGUUUUAAUUAUAUUAAUUUCAAAAGAAAUCACAAUAUAAAAAAAUAAGUGAAGCACAUAUCAAUAUAAUAACCUAACGUUCCUUAUGGCAUAAGCUAUAAAUUGUAGCAAAUAGAAUGAGAACAAAUUUAAUUAAAUGUUAAACAACAAAAAUUGGCAACAUAAACUAUAACAUCUCACAUCGUCCAGGGGAGUGGAUCUUGUAAGUCUUAUAUGUAUAUUCUCAUCUCUACCUAGCACGAGGCCUUUUGGGAGUUCAAUGGCUUCGGGUUCCAUCAGAACUCCAAAGUUAAGCGAGUUCGUGCGAGAGCAAUCCCAUGAUGGGUGACUCUAUUUAAUGUCAGCAUAUGUAUUCAAUGUCUCUCUUUUUUAUUUAUAAUUUUAUGGUGUUCAUAAAUUAAACUUUAUGAAAAUAUUAUAAAUUUUAAUUCUCAUUAUGGGAAGUAUCUUAUAUAAGAAAAUAUUUUCGUAGAGAUUUUUCUAUACACUAAUAUUUUUGCAUAUUUUCUUGUGUGCCACAAAUUCUUUAUAAUAUAUUUAGGUACGAACAUUUCGGUACACUAGGUUGGUAUAAUAUGUUUCGGUACGAACAUUUCGGUAUACUAUUUUAGUAUAAUAUAUUUAGGUACUGACAUUUUGGUACACUAGUUUAGUAUCAUAUAUUUAGGUAAAGAAUUUUCGUGUACAUUUAUGUUUUUGCAUAUUUUCUUAUGUGCCACUAAUUCAGUACAUAUAUUUAGGUACGAACAUUUCGGUACACUAAUUUAGUAAAAUAUAUUAUGAUACAGACGUUUAGGUACACUAAUUAGAGGAAGUAAAAUCAAAUUAAUGAAUUAAAAUGUGUAUAAUAAUGAAUUUAAAAUUUUAUGUAAUACAUUAAAUACGAUAUCUAUUAAAUAUUAAAAAAUAUAUAUAAUAUAAAUUUGAUUAAGUACACAUUAAAUGACUAAAAUCAAUAUCCAAUCUAACACUAGAUUUUUAUUAAAUUUUAAUAUUCUUCAAGAAUUAAAGUUCAAAACCCCUAAAUAAAUACACAUCCAAUAAUCAUUAUAUUUCCAGGUUUAUAUUAUAAAAAUUAAGGUAAUUUGAUGGGCAUUAUAUCAAUCGUUUCUGAAACUUACAUCAAAAUCCGUAAUCUGUCAAAAAAAAUUGAUUGAUUUGUGUCAACUUGAUAAAACCAUCAAAAUUCAAUCUUUAAUGUAAUUCCUUAAAAGAUUAGUUUGAAUUACAGUGACAUGCAAAUAAACAACAUAGCAAAUUAAUAAGACAAACGAGCCUGAAAUUUUACUAAUGUGUACCUUGAGCAACCGUGAUUAUAUUUCUUGUGCCCAAAAUUCUACGCUGCAAGAUAUUUCAUAUUUGAGCUUAGAAUAUAAAACACAACAAAAACCAUCUCAUAUAGAAGUUAAAGAAAUCCAGAACUUUUUUAGCAAGAAGUAAGCAUAUAACCAUCAUUUUUGAGUACACAGCAAUGUGCCACUUUUAAACUAAACCAAAUGGAUUGCAUCUUAGUCCAAAUAAAAUGGUCCUUAAUUUGAAUCAAUAGAAGUUACAUUUGGUCAAGAAUCUUUAAGGCCAAACAACAUAUAUGUCAUGCUUCAUUUCCUUAAAAUUGGUACCCAUAUGAGAUUUAAUGGGGUUCAUAUCAGAAACAUUUAAAACUUGAAGACGUAGAACUAUCCUUCCCAAUUUUUUGUAGGUAUUUUUAUAUACUUAUUUUUCUCUCUUUCCUUGUUUAGAAAAGGCAGGUUAAUUCACCAAGAAACAAAAGGCACUUUAUUUAUGAUUCAACGAUAUAUUUACACUCAACUCAAAUAUGAAAGCUAAAAACCAAAACCUACAGAUACACAGAUAGAUCAUCAACCCAUGCUUAUCUUAUAUUUGAAUACAUGCUAAGUGAUUGUGAAAUUAUUUAAUGCCCAAAAACUGUAUACUGAGAAACUAAAUGAUUGUAACCUGUUAACGAGUAUGUUUUAACCCAUAUUCUACUGAUCCCAAAUACUUAACAUUAUGCUUCAACUGUUUGGCAGAUACGAGACACAACCGAUUGGACAGAUAGUUGAACGUAUUUUCGGUGAAUUGAAUAACACAAAUCACAUGUUGUCAAAUGAUCUAAAGGACUUCGUUGGUACGGAUCAAGUAGAUAAAAUCGAAUCCAACAUGCGUUCGUCUAUAGGGUCGGAAGAAGUUUGUAUAAUUGGGAUUUGUGGGAUGCCAGGAGUUGGUAAGAGUACCAUUGCAAAAGCUCUUUCUCAAAGAAUUCGCAAUGAAUUUGAAGGUUUCAGUUUCAUUUCUAAGGUUGGAGAGAUAUCUAAAAAACAAAGUUUAUUUCACAUCCAAGAACAACUAUGUGAUCACUUAUUGGAUAGAAAAGUAACUACGAAGGAUGUCAACAAAGUGAUAAGUGAGAGAUUGUGCCGCAAACGGGUUCUGAUAAUUCUCGACAACGUGGAUGAAUUAGAACAAAUAGAAGCUGUAGCUGGAAAGGAUGGCAAAAAUUUUUAUAACCGGUUUGGUAAGGGUAGCAGAAUCAUUGUAACCACAACAGAUGAAACGCUGUUGACAAAGUAUAAGCCAAAAUUACUAUACAAGGUUGAGAAACUUACUGACAAGGAAGCUCUUCUUCUCUUCUGCCGGAAAGCCUUCAACGAGGAUUGUCCUAUAAAUGGCUAUGAGAAAUUGUCUUAUGAAUUUGUAGAUCAAUGUGAUGGUCUUCCUUUGGCUCUUGAAGUGUUGGGUUCCUCCCUCCUGGAAAGAAGUGUGGAAGAAUGGUCCAGCACGUUGGCUUCUUUGAAAGAUCAUAAUUAUUCAGGCGAGGAGAGAAUUAUUGGUACUCUUAAAGUAAGUUAUUAUGGAUUAACGCAUUCAGAACAGAAGAAAAUGUUUUUGGACGUCGCAUGUUUCUUCAAUGGGGAGGAUGUUUGUCGGGUAAAAAAGAUAUUUGAAAGUUGUGGCUACUAUCCAGGUAGCAAUAUAAAGAUUCUACGCGAGAAAAAUUUGGUAAGCAUCAUAGGAGGAAAAUUGUGGAUGCAUGAUUUACUACAAAAAAUGGGCAGAGAAAUUGUUCGUGGAGAAAAUGAAGAGAAGGGAAAACGCAGCAGAUUGUGGCUUUGCACAGAUGCCCUUCAUGUAAUAAAGAAAUAUAAGGUGAGAAGUUUAAUGGAAUGCUCAUGUUUUUAUCUCGAUUAAAAAGUUGUCUAGUUAUAAUUUUAGAGGUAAGAUACAUACUUUAUUUGAAUUUGAUUUUUUUUUAUUGGAUUUUCAAUGCUGUGUUUUUUUUUUCCAAUGGCUAUAGGGGACAGAUGCUGUUAAAGGCAUUUUCUUAAGCUCGCCUAAGGAAGAGAAAGUACACUUGAAGAAAGACACAUUCUUAAAUAUGGACGAUCUAAAAUUGUUGAAAAUUCACAAUGUGAUAUUUUCUGGAUGCGUGGAGUCUCUUUCAGAUGAGUUAAGGUUCUUGGAAUGGCACGAAUAUCCUUUAAAAUUGCUGCCUUCAAGUUUUGAACCCGAAAACCUUGUUGAACUGCACUUGCCUGGAAGCAAAAUAGAGAAAUUAUGGGAGGAAUUUGAGAAGGUAAUAAUGUUUAUAUACUCCAUGUAUUUCUUAUUGCUGAAUUUAUUUGACAAAUAUAAGGCUUUCGGAGAAUGCUACUUAUACUUAAACAUAUACAUUUUCCUCCCUUUUUCUUUACAGCCUUUGGAAACGUUGGUAAUACUCAACCUUACUGAUUGUGAAAAGUUGAUCGAGACCCCCGACUUCGGCAAAGUCCCAAACCUUGAGCAGCUAAUCCUUAAAGGUUGCACAUGCUUGUCUGAGGUUCCCGAUAUAAUCAACUUGAGAUCUCUUAUGACUUUCAUUCUUUCGGGAUGUUCCAGACUUGAAAAGCUUCCAGAGAUUGGAGAAGACAUGAAACAAUUAAGGGAACUGUAUUUAGAUGGGACAGCUAUAGAAGUGCUACCGACAUCAAUCAAGCAUCUGACCGGACUUACUGUGCUCAAUCUCAAAGACUGCAAGAACCUUUUGAGUCUGCCUGACAUCAUUUGUACUAGUUUGACAUCCCUUCAAACUUUGACCAUCUCAGGGUGUGCGAAUCUUAAAGAGUUGCCAGAAAACCUUGGUUGUUUAAACUGUUUACUGGAGCUUGAUGCAAGCGGGACAGCUAUAAAACAGCUACCAGCAUCAAUCAAGGAUCUGACCAGGCUUAGCAAGCUUUAUCUCAGAUAUUGCAAAAACCUUUGCAGUUUGCCAGCAACCAUUUGUACUAGUUUGACGUUACUUCAAAUUCUCAACCUCUCAGGGUGUUCGAAUCUUGACGAGUUGCCAGAGAACUUGGGGAGUUUAGAAUGUUUACAGGAGCUUUAUGCUGGCGGGACUGCUAUAAGUGAAGUACCUGAAAGCAUCUCUCAACUUUCUCAACUUGGAGAACUUGUAUUGGAUGAUUGUAGCAAGCUUCGGUCCUGGCCAAGACUUCCAUUUAGUAUAAGAUGGGUAAGGGCACAUAAUUGUCCCUUGUUGGAGGGAGCACAUUCAGAUAAAAUAAUGGUAUGGAAUUCAACUGCUGCUGGAUUUAGUUUUAUAGAUCGCCGAAGUGAUAAAACCAAAGGUCAGGCAUAUUGGCUACCGCCUAAAUAUCUUUUGAGGGAGUCCUAUCAAACAUACUUUGAGGUCCUCUCUCUCUCUCUCUCUCCAUCCACCUUUCUAAUUAGCUGUUUUUUUUUUUUUUUUUUUUUUAACUUAUCUCGCUUCUAUUUUACAGGAUUCAAUUCAUCGCAGUACUAUGUUAGAAUAUUCUUAUCGAUCAAAUAAAAUUCCAGCAUGGUUGAGCCGUCAGAGUACUGAAUCCAGUGUAGCAAUCCCACUGCCUCGUGAUGUUGAUGGUAUAAGUAAAUGGAUGGGACUUGCUCUAUGUUUUGUCUGUGUAGCUGCACAGAAGCAUGAUAAUUUGGAAGAUGAGCCAGAAUUUGAUGAGAAAUCGCAAUCAAACCUCACUCGCAAUUUCCGCAUUGAUCUCUAUACAACUGAAGAUCCUCAUGAACGUCCCCAAGUGCUUAAUUACGGUGAUCUUGAUUUCACUGGACCAUUUAUACAUUGGUUGUAUAUACCACGAACUGGCCUUGAAGAAUGUUCAAAUAAACGCUUCAUCCGAGCUUUGAUUACACCUGAUAGCCCAGAAGUAAAAGUGAAAGAGUGUGGGGCGAGUCAAAUAAACUCGGAACACGUGACCACAUUUGUCAGUAAAAUGAUUAAGCACAAUAAAAAUUUCUGUAACGGCCAUCAGCCUGAAGAAGAAGACGAAAACGAAGAUGGUAUGAGAAGUGUUCCGUCGACAAGUGGGGUUCAAAUUCAACAAGAAUUACAAAAAGAAGAAACUACUAGUUCAACUCCCAUUGUAGGUCAAUUGAGAAGAAACGUAGUGUCAUUGCUUGAAAAACUAUUUGAGGUACUCUCUCUCUCUCUCUCUCUCUCUCUCUCUCUCUCUCUCUCAUACGCACACAACAAAAAUGACAACUUGAUUACUGAUAUCAUGAGUGUGAAUGCAUGUAUAGGGAUUGCGGAGGGGCCUGCCAAAUAUCCACGAUUAUGGUUUUAUUUUUUCUCGACGAGAAAAAUUACAAUGGUUCAGUGAACAGAGCACUACGUCUGCAUGCACGGUCAACUUAACUCUACCUCCGUAUCUGCAUAAUGAUGAGAAAUGGGCGGGACUUUCUCUAUAUGUUGUUUGCAGUCUGCCUCAAGGUGUUCAAUUUGGCCGCAUUUACUAUGAGUGUCAUUUGUAUACACCUAUUGAAGCUGUGGGUGUGGAAGCACUGAUGCAUCGACUAAUGUUAUGGUCCCCGUUGGAUAACAAUGUGGGGUCACAUCGACUCCUUAUUGUUCAUAUACCACGAGUACGUUUUCCGGAACGCUUGAAUCGGUGUCGCUUCAUUCAAGCUUUAUUUGGAUGUAGAACUCCAGGUGUGAAGGUUGAAAUGUGCGGGAUGCGUCUAGUAUACGACCAAGACUUGAAAGGGUUAAUCCAAACAAUAACCCAUUGCACCACCACAACGGGUCGCCCUGUUUACUACGGAACUGGUGAUUUUACAGAUACCAAGAAAUAUAAUGGAAUUAGUUUGGGAUGUACAAGUUUGUUAAUGAAUUUUCUUGAAGCAGCCAAAUCCACGGAGCACAGCUCAGUGAGCGAAGUUUGUCCUCGUUUCAUGCCACUUGAUUUUCGCCCAAAAACUGACUCUGCUGAGGAAUCUCAACAAGAAAGAAAAAGAACAUCAGCUUGUCAGGAUGAAGCAACAGGAAGUAAUUGGGACUUUCUACGACGGGAGAUUGCUCUUUCUUUAGGAAUUAAUUACGAAUUUCUACAGCAGGAGAUUGUUUGUUCUUAUGGUCAUGCCAACAAUAUAAGCUUGGAUCAGAGUCGGCUCCUGGUAAAAUUAUAGUUUGAGUUUUGGCGCUCUUUCUGUGUGUGUGUGUGUGUGUGUGUGUGUGUGUGUGUGUGUGUGUGUAUAUCUACCAAUAUAUAUGUAUAAAUAUUCAUCUAUCCUAUCUCUCAUGUUUUGCAGGACUUCGACCGUGACUUGAUAUAUAAUUCUUGUUUCCCUCCCAAUGAGAUUAUAGACUGGUUCGAGGGUAAAAGCAGAGAUCACUCUGUAAAAGUCUCUCUACCACCAAAUCUAUGUGAAGACACCAAUUGGAGGGGACUAGCUUUAUGUGCAUACUUUUCAGUCCUCGACCAUUCAACUACCGACCAUGAAAAUUUGGAUCUCGAUAUUUCUCACAAUCUUACAUGUCUUUUAGAAACUGAUAAAGGUUCUCUGGAUUCUCCCCAUAGCUAUUGCACCCCCAAGCAAGAAUUCAAGUGGUUGAAUCGUAUGGGAGGAUUCAUUUGGUUGUCCUAUAUACCACGAUGUUGGUUUUCGAAUCAGUUGAAUGAAGGAGGGCACCUGGAGGCUUCAAUUGUAAGCGAUUGUGGAAGCUUGGGUGUGCAUAGGUGUGGGCUCCGUCUUAUAUAUCUGAAAGAUGAAGAAGGGCUCAAGGAGACCAUAAUGCACUGCAUGACUUCCUUGUCUGAUAUUAAUGAAGGGGAAGAAAAACAAAACCAGGACUGUGAGGUAGGAUCAUCUAGUAUUACAGGCGUCGACAUUGUAAAUCCUCAUCUUGAGAAAUCAGAGCAGCCCAGUGAUAAGAAAUGGGUAGGGUUCCCUCUCUCUCUCUCUCUCUCUCUCUCUCUCUCUCUCUCUCUCUCUCUCUCACACACACACACGCAUAUAUAUAUUUAAACGUAUAUCUCACACCUUGUCUAUCCUCUACAGAUUUUUGACUGUUAUUCGAUCUAUAAUGCUUGUUUCCCUUCAAGCAUCAGUCUAGAGUGGUUUGGGGAUCAGAGCAAUGGUUCCUCGGUAAUAAUUCCACUACCACCAAAUUUGUAUAGUGACACUAAUUGGAAAGGAUUGGCUCUACGUGCUUACUUCUCCGUUGGGGAAAAUCCAACUGCUGAGCUAGACAAUUUGAAUCGAGAUAUUCCCCACCAUCUGAUAUGUCAUUUGGAAUCAGAAAGAGGUACAAUAGAACCUCUCCAUGACUACUGCACCACCAAUGAAGAAUUCCAGUGGUUAUAUUUCGGGGGAUUCAUUUGGGUAGCUUAUAUACCACGAGCAUCAUUUUUGGAUCAGUUGAAUGGAUGCAGUAUCCUGAAGGCUUCAAUUGCAAGCGAUCAUGAAGCAUGUAAUGUGCAUAGUUGUGGGCUAGGCCUUGUAAAUCAGCAUGAUCAGGAAGAGUUUGAGGAGGCCUUAUUUCACAAUAUGAUGUUGUUGUCAGAUAAGAAGGGCAAAAAUAAGCAAUGCGCUGAGGGUAACUCGGAAUCAUCUAGUAGAUGUAGCAGCUACAUUACGAAACCUCAUCUUGAAAGAUUAGUAAAGCCGAGUCACAGAAAAUGGGUAUGAUUUUCUUUAUACUCUCUCGCUCUCUUCCCACACACAUUUAUAAUUAUUUACACACCUGAACUAUUUGCAGAAAUUCUAUGUGCAGGACAUCCUCUUAUGCAUUAAGAAAUAUUUUCUAAUUAAUUCUCUUCAACUUUGAUCCCAUUUGGUUGAUUAUUUAGGGUAUAUAUGUUAGUGUGAAAUAUUCAUCUGAGUUAUGCAAAGAUGGUGAUAAGAAAAGGAUUGUGGGAUGCAAAAGGAAUGAAUGUUCUUCUUCUCUACUGCAAAAAUGGCAGAGAGGAUAUAUUUCACUUAAUGGAAGAAAUGAGCAUGCACGUGUGCACUUCACAACUGUUUUUGCCUUAGCUGGAUCCAUACACAUCACAUUUGAUCUCAGCCACACAUCUAGCUAACUUCUAGGAUUGCUACACAUGGAUAUUUUGGCCUUACAUAAUGGAGCCUCACACUUGUCAUUCUAUAAGACUAAGUGCAUACACAAUUAACAUUGAAGACUUCUUACUUACUAAUCAGCUCAUUACUUACAAUUCUACACUCCCCUUUAAGUUUUGAGCUGAUUUCACUCCAAGUUUAUUCCUGAGAUAGCAGAACCGGUCCUUAGCCAAUGACUUUGUGAAGAUAUCUGCUAGUUGCUCAUUUGUAGGACAGUAAACAAGAUCAAUGAUUCCUUCCUGUAAAGCAUCCUUGAUGAAGUGAUAUCUUCGAUCAAUAUGCUUAGUUUUCUGAUGAAACACAGGGUUCUUUGUGAUGGCAAUUGCAGCAAUAUUAUCACACUGAAGAGGAGUAUUGAAGAGAAGUAGCCUUAGUUUGGAAUUCACCAAAGUGCUCUAACACAAAUUUGAGCCAAAUUGCUUGUGCAAUUGCCUCUGAUGCACUAAUAUACUCUGCUUCAGCAGUAGAGAGCUACACAGUUCUGUUUGAUUGAAGCCCAAGAGAAAAUCCCACUACCAAAAGAGAAAGCAUACCCUGUGGUGCUUUUACUGUCAUCAAUUGAGCUACCCCAAUCACUGUAACAUCCCACAUCGCCCAGGGGAGUGAUCCUUAAAUGUAUAUUCCCAUCCCUACCUAGCACGAGGCCUUUUGGGAGCUCACUGGCUUCGGGUUCCAUCGGAACUCCGAAGUUAAGCGAGUAGUACGCAAGACCAAUCCCAUGAUGGGUGACCCACUGGGAAGUUCUCAUGUGAGUUCCCAGAAACAAAAAUUGUGAGGGCGUAGUCGAGGCCCAAAGCGGACAAUAUCGUGCUACGAUGGUGGAGUGGGCCCGAGAAGUGAUCCGCCCCGGGCCGGGAUUUGACAGUCACUAUCACAGUAACCAAUUAGAAUUGCAUUUCUUCCCUUCACAUAUUCCAAACCAUAGUCAAGUGUUCUUUUGAUAUACCUGAGAACUCUUUUGGCAGUUCCAUAGUGUUUAUUGGUGGGGCAGUGCAUAAAUCUUGCCAAUAAGCUUGCUGCAUACAUUAUAUCCGGCCUUGUAGCAGUGAGAUAUAAUAAGUUUCCCAUGAUCUUCCUAUAUUGUUCUUCAUUUGCUGAACCACUGCCAUCAUCUUUACUAAGCUUCUCAGUUGUAACCAAAGGUGUAGCAACAUAUUUACACUCACUCAAGCCAAAUUUGUUCAACAAAGAUAUAGCAUACUUUCCUUGAUGAAUAAAAAUGCUUGUGUGUGUUUGGAUGACUCAUAUUCCCAGAAAAUGAUGCAAGAGCCCUAAAUAUGUCAUUUCAUACUUUGUCAUCAUGUCUCUCUUAAAUUCCUCCAACAUUGGUUGACCGUGUACACAAUGUCAUCUACAUAUAGAGAUACAAUCAGAAUUUCUGUUUCUCCUCUGGUUUUAGUAUAUAGAGUGCCUUCACUUUGACUCUUUUCAAAUCCACAUUGAGGAAAGUAAGAGUCAAUUUCACUAUACCAGGCCCUUGGUGCCUGUUUUAAGCCAUACAAAGCUUUAUGAAGCUUGUACACUUUGUCUUCAUUCCCCUUGAUCACAAAACCAUUUGGUUGUUCUACAUAAACCUUCUCUUCAAAAACUCCAUUCAGAAAAGCAGACUUGACAUCAAGUUGGUAUAGUUUCCAAUUCUUCUGUGCUGCCAAUGCAACUAGUGUUCGAAUUGUAUCGAGUUUAGCCACAGGUGCAAAAGUCUCAUUAUAGUCAACACCUAGUUUCUGAGCAUAUCCCUUGGCUACCAGCCUUGCUUUAUUCUUCUGCAUUGAUCCAUCAAGGUUAAGCUUGGUCUUGAACACCUAUUUAACCCCAAUUAUAGGUUUAUCAGUUGGUUUGUCCACUAGCUCCCAUGAUGCAUUCUUUUCAAUCAUUUGCAAUUCAUCUUUCAUAGCUAUCAUCCAUGAUUCAUCCUUAGCUACCUCAUCAAACUUUUCAGGUUCCAUAAUGCAGAGAUUGCAUUGAGUUAGAACAUCAUCCAGGUUCCUCCACCUCAAUGGAGUGUGAUCAAAGGCUUGAGACUUUCUCAUACUGCUACUUAUAUCACUUGCUAAUUCAUGGGAAGACAACAAGCUUGGUGAUUGAGUAUGGUCCUGACCUUCAGGAGUUUCUCCAAGUGAUGUACUCUUAGGCAUCUCAGAUAGCUCAUCAUGAUUAAGCACAGUUACAUAAUUCUCAGAGACCUUCUUCCACUCCCAAGCUGCAUUUUCAUCAAACACAACAUCUCUCGAGAGUAUAAGUUUCUUAGUAAGAGGAUCAUACACUAUGUACCCCUUUUCACAAGUGGCAUAACCCACAAAUAUGCCCUUAACACUCUUUGCAUCUAGUUUCUGUCUCAACUCACUUGAUAUGUGUACAUAGCACAAAUAACCAAAGAUUUUGAGAUGUGCAAUCCCUGGUUUUCGACCAUUGAAUACUUCAAAAUGAGUUAUAUCUCUGAGAGCUCUUGUAAGACACAUAUUCAGUAUGUAGACAGUUGUGUGUACAGAUUCUGCCCACAAAUAGUAAGGUAAUCCUUUAUCAUGAAGCAUAGCUUUUUCCAUUUCAACUACCGUUCUGUUCUUUCUCUCUACAACUCCAUUCUGUUGUGGAGUAUAGGCCAUAGAGGGUUGUCUUUAAAUACCCUCAUCUUCACACAACUUGUUAAACUCACAAGAUGUGAAUUCACCCCCUUUGUCACUUCUUAGACACUUCACUUUGAAACCACUUUGUAGCUCUACCAUGGAUUUGAACUUUCUAAAACAAUUCAAUGCAUCUGACUUGUAUCUGAGAAAAUAAACACACAUCAUUCUUGUGCAGUCAUCUACAAGAAGCAUGAAAUAUUUAUUACCAGCUAUGGACUCAUUUUGUAUAGGUCCACAUAAAUCCACAUGAAUCAACUUUAGUGGAUUGCUUACUCUCCAUGCCUGAUUCUUUGCGAACCACUCUCUAUGUUGCUUUCCAAGCUAACAACCUUCACACACUUCAUCAACUUCUUCUAAGUAUGGAAGUCCAUGCACCAUUUCCUUCUCUUUGAGUUGUUUUAACCCCUUUAGAUGCAGAUGGCCUAGCCUUUUGUGCCAGGUCCAAGUAGAAUGAGACAAACUUGUUUUCAAGGCUAUAUGAUCAUCAGGUAAUAGUGCUAAAGGAUAACAUCUAUUCCUCUUCAUUUCUACUUUGAUUACAAGACAUUAUAGUGAAUGACUAUAAAAAAUGCUACACAUUUUUCCUCCAAACAACAAAUAAUACCCAUGCUUAUCCAUUUGUCUUACACUCAGUAAGUUCUCCUUCAAUCCAAGUAGAUAAAUUACCUCCUUGAUGUAUUUUCUGCCCUUACAAGUAUCAAUUACUAGUGUUCCCAUUCCAGCUACAUUCAUAAGCUCACCAGUUGGCAUUUACUUUGCCUACCACAUUUGUCCUUAUAUCAACCAAUAACUUCUCAUUUCCAGUCAUGUGGUUGCUACAGCCAUUGUCAAUAUACCAUUCACCAUUGUCAAUUGAUCCAUAAAUAGUGUUAUUUGCAUAAAACAAGUUCCCUGUCACCUCUAUUUGAUUAGCACUGUUAGCUUUUUGUACUGAUUUGCAUGCAGUACACUCUCAAGCCCAGUGUCCAAACUUUUCAUAGUUAUAGCAUUUAGGCUUCCCCUUAUAUCUACACUCACCAAAGUAAAACUUAGAGCAUACCCUGCAUUGUGGUUUUGUAACUGUCGAACCCAUUAAUUGUGCAUUUUGUGCAGGACUAGCAUGAAAUUUCUUUUGAAACUUGGGUUUUGAAUCCCAUUUCUUGCCCUUAGAAUUCCAAUUCUUCUGAAACUGAGAUGAACCAGAUUGAACUCCACUUAUAUUCUGUCCAUUUGGACUCACUGAGGGAGAUGUAAAUGCCUUCCCAGUAGUAUCAACAAUAUGCAGAUCAAACCGUUGUUCUUGGCUCUUUAAGAUUGCAAUUACCUCCUGCAAGUCUACAGUCUCCAAGCAUUUUGUAUUUUCUAUAACCAAAUAGAUAGGAUCAUAUGGUUUACUUAAACUAAUAAGAACCUUUUGCACAAGUCUCUCAUUAGAAAGAGAUUCACCAAAUGUUUUCAUCUGAUUAAUUAAAUCAUUCAACCUUGUAAGAUAACCAGAUAGAGAUUCAUCAUCUCGCAUCCUAGCAUAUUCAAAUUCUCGUCUAAGAUUUUGAAGUUUUACCGAUCUAAUCUGAUCACUACCGUGGUAUUCUCCAUACAACAGAUCCCAUGCCAUCUUAGCUAAAUCAGCAUUGGCAAUCCGAGGAAAGAUCUGGUCAGAGACUGCAUUUUGUAUGAUUCCUAAAGUCUUCGCAUCCCUCAUGAACACAGUAGUCAUUUCUUCAUCGACUGCAUCUUCUGAUGACCCUUCAGCUUCCUUCUUCUUCUUUGAGUCGGGGGUUGUAAUCCCCUUUUCUAUUAGAUUCCAUAACCCAAGAGAUUUGAAAACCGUUACCAUCUUAAUUCUCCAGAACUCAUAGUCCUCACCGGAGAAGAUUGGCCUGAAUGUUGAUUUCUCUUCUCAGAUAAAUUUUGAAUUUCGGCGACCUUCACCGAGCUUCGAGUUAACUCAGUGGCUUCACAGAUUCACACCCAGAUUCAAUUGAUAGAACCUGGCUCUGAUACCAUGUUAGUGUGAAAUAUUUAUCUGAGUUAUGCAAAGAUGGUGAUAAGAAAAGGAUUGUGGGAUGCAAAAGGAAUGAAUAUUCUUCUUCUCUACUGCAAAAAUGGCAGAGAGGAUAUAUUUCACUUAAUGGAAGAAAUGAGCACGUACGUGUGCACUUCACAACCGUUUUUGCCUUAGCUGGAUCCACACACAUCGCAUUUGAUCUCAGCCACACAUCUAGCUAACUUCUAGGAUCACUACAUAGGGCUAUUUUAGCCUUACAUAAUGGAGCCUCACACUUGUCAUUCUAUAAGACUAAGUGCAUACACAAUUAACAUUAAAGACUUCUUAUUUGCUAAUCAGCUCAUUACUUACAAUUCUACAAUAUAAUGGUCCUUUAGGUUUUUAAUAUCACACUUUGCUCCUCACAUCAACGUGAUUAACUAAUACGAGAUUAGAAACCUAAAGUCUAAGGUCUAAAUGAUGAUUCCAUAGCAUAAAACAAUCAAGCUUGUCAAUAAUGGGAUCAAAGUAGGAUUAUUGAGUAGAAGAGAGGUUUUCUCACUCGUCAAAGACAAGACAUCUUGCACAAACUCAAACUGAAUUAUAUACACAUGUACAUAUAUCUACAUAUCUGACUCCUUGUCUCUCCUCCUUUACAGGACUUCGAUCGUUUCUCUGUAUACAAUUCAUGUUUCCCUUCAAACAUAGAUCUAGAGUGGUUUGGCCAUCAAAGCAAUGACUACUCGCUAACAAUCAGUUUGCCACAAAAUCUAAACAUGGACAGUAAUUGGCUAGGAUUGGCUGUAUGUGCAAACUUUGCAAUCCUGGAGCAUCUGACUUCUGAGAUUGACAAUUUGGAUAUCCCAGCAAUUUCUCACAACCUUAGUUGUCAUUUUGAAUCGGACAAAGGGAAUUCUCUGCAUCACUACUGCACAAGCAAAGAAGAAUUCAUGUGGUUGCAUCUAGGAGGAUUCGUUUGGGUAUCCUACAUACCACGAGCGUGGUUUUCAGAUCAGUUGAAU
rnacentral:lncRNA from 1 species